UCUAAAUGAAACCAGCUGUUGGGAGGCAGGCCCAGAAUCCUGCCACAUGCCGGCUCCUGGCUUUCUCUACAAGAGACUCGGGUUUUUUGUUUUUUUUUUCCCUCUCUCUCCCAGUUCUUUUCCCUGAAUCACCAAUCACCUUCAGGCUUCCUCUCUCCAGACCUACAGAAGCAUCUCUGUAGAGUGAACUUUAAAGAAGCCCCAAACUUUCCAAAAAUAUCCACCCUCCCCACCGGAUUGUCUCACUCCCAAGUCUUGGCUCAGGGCUGAGGGCCAUUUUGGAGCAGAAGUAAUUGUCCUCCUGUGAGAUGCCUUGGGGUGAGAUCAGAGGAAGGGUUAGGAGGCUCUGGUGUGUGAAAGAGGCCAGAGCAGCUACUGUUUGGGGGCUGACACGGUUUCCAAUGUCUCCUCCAGCCAGAGAGCCCUUACAGGAUCAGAGGCUGCAAGCCAGGCCAACACAGAAGGCCCUGGGAAGGGCCAGCCCCAGCCUGGACUGCCCCAGGACUGCCAUGCAGAAUCUUUCCUUUUCUGGGAUCUCCACCCUGAGCCCCGAGUCCCUGUCCCCCAGCUCUCAGGUCCCCGGGGCUUCCACUGCCCCUGCCCCACACACCCCUUGUCUAAGUCCCAACAAACUCUAGACCCUGCCUAGUCCCAAGGCGGCCUGUCAGCUUGGCCCGGCCCAGGAGCCCCCUGGAAUGCUAACCACACUUUUUUGUUUGUUCCUCUUAAAGACUCUGAACUCUUCUAGGGCUGGAGGGAGGGGAGAAAAACGAAUUGAGCACCUACUAUGGGCCAGAGCCACACAGAGCUGCACUGCCCGCCCGGCCAGCCCUGGGGCUCCUGCCGGCCCUGCCGCGGGCACCCCCAGCUCUGCGCACUUACGUCGGAGGCUUUCUUCUCCGUCAGCUCCAGCUUCUCCUGCGCGUCCUUCAGGUCCUCCGAGUAUUUUUCCAACUCAUCCUCUGUCCCUUUCAGUUUCUUCUGGAGGUGCGUCAGCUCCUCCUCCACCUGGGGACAGAUCGGGGGACGCAUCAGCCUGGGGUGCCACCGUGCCCCUGCGGUACAGGGUUGGCCCCCAUGUGCACAAAAGUCCUCUGGCUCUCCUCCUCUCUGGGCAUGGGUUUCCUCGUCUGUAAAACAAGGAUAACAAUAGUACGCACCAUUCAAGAAAUGCGACCUGCCCAGGGGUUUCCCUUGUCCUGGGGACUAAAUGUUCUUAACCUCCCUGGGGUCCCCAGUCCUGCUGGGGACUCGAUCACAGCUUUGGGGGAAUUGGUGUUCCCACAGGUUUUCCAGAAACACUGCUCAUUCAGUUUUGCCUGACAGUUUCAGGCUUUUGCAAAACCCCCUAGUGAUGUGGGUUAAGCAGGAAGGGGAACCUCAUACUCUGGAUCUGGACCCCUCCUCUUUCUCCUCAGUCUACCUUUCUCUAGGUCUGUACCCCACAUUGUCAGCCAGGGAAACUUUCCAAAGAGUAUGGCUGCCCUUUCCCUGCCCAGAACCUGCCAUGGCUCCCCAUUGCCUAUUGCCCUUAGCCAUGCCCAAGGCAGUGAAUCUCAGACGUCUCCCAAAAUUCUCCAAAGGGCUCGGACCCUGCACCCCAACUUGUAAACUUUGGGGGCUUAGCUAGAAGAAACCAACCCAUCAAACAUCAUUUUAUUUGAAGGCUCAGGUUAAAUCUUUUCCAAUGUUGCAUGUUUGGUGUAUGUUUAUCUUAAUUAAAAUGUCUGCUGUCUUUUCCAAA